rnacentral:rRNA from 1 species
AUUGAACGCUGGCGACAUGCCUUACACAUGCAAGUCGAACGGCAGCACGGGUGCUUGCACCUGGUGGCGAGUGGCGAACGGGUGAGUAAUACAUCGGAACAUGUCCUGUAGUGGGGGAUAGCCCGGCGAAAGCCGGAUUAAUACCGCAUACGAUCUACGGGUGAAAGCGGGGGACCUUCGGGCCUCGCGCUAUAGGGUUGGCCGAUGGCUGAUUAGCUAGUUGGUGGGGUAAAGGCCUACCAAGGCGACGAUCAGUAGCUGGUCUGAGAGGACGACCAGCCACACUGGGACUGAGACACGGCCCAGACUCCUACGGGAGGCAGCAGUGGGGAAUUUUGGACAAUGGGCGAAAGCCUGAUCCAGCAAUGCCGCGUGUGUGAAGAAGGCCUUCGGGUUGUAAAGCACUUUUGUCCGGAAAGAAAUCCUUGGCCCUAAUACGGUCGGGGGAUGACGGUACCGGAAGAAUAAGCACCGGCUAACUACGUG